rnacentral:tRNA from 1 species
GCCCGGCUAGCUCAGUCAGUAGAGCAUGAGACUCUUAAUCUCAGAGUCAUAGGUUCAUGCCCCACAUUGGGUG